rnacentral:tRNA from 1 species
GGGCCCGUAGCUCAGUUGGGAGAGCAACUGACUUUUAAUCAGUGGGUCACAGGUUCGAAUCCUGUCGGGCUCACCA